AAGGAAAAAAUAGUUAACUGGAAGUGCUAAGCUAAAUUAGUUAUUCUGUUAGUCAUGCUUGUUACUUAGUUUAGAAAAACAUGUUUGAAGUGAUAAUGGUUACAAUGAUUUAAAUAAUCUACUAAAACAUAAUCUGCUAAAAUAAUCUGCUAAAACAUGAACUUCCUCAAAGAUGUAUAAAAUCUUUCAUAGAUCUUAAGACAUUUGGGAAUGUUUGGAUAGACUUGCAAUUGGAUGCGUAUAGAAAACAGAGCAUACAACAGCAUAAUGAAGAGGAUAAAUGAAACAAGUCCAUUCUGUGGCAUUAGGUCAGUGCAGUUAUUUUUCUCAGUAGCCAGGAAUUAUCAUUUCGGGGUCAUUUUGAAUCCAAUAAUCAUGGAAAUUGUAAAGAACUCUUAUAUUUAAUCAGUAAAUAUGACAAAAAAUUGGCAAGCUAUCUUGAUACAUCUUGUUUUCUCAGGUUUCUGAAACAGAAUUCAAAAUGACUUGAUUGAUGCAGUUCAAAAAGUUUUGUUGGAUGAAAUAGAAAAUGAACUGAAGCAGGCUAAAUUUGUAGCUUUUGUUGUAGAUGAAACAUCUGAUGUAUCAAACUAUUCACAACUUUCAACUGUUUUACAUUAUGUUACAAAGAUUGUGUUAUUAAAAAAUGAUUUAUCGGUUUUAAUGAUGUUAGAAUAGAUUGCUCAGCAAAUGCUUUAUCUGAAGAUGUUUUUAAAUGCAUUGAAACAUGGACAUGUGGAAGCAAAUUAAUUGCACAAACCUAUGAAGGUGCCACUGCAAUGGCAGGCAAUUAAAUGGGUUGCAGUCAAAAGUAAGAGAGAAAUAUGAAUAUGUGAUCAUUGUUCAUAGUUGUGCUCAUGCAUUUAAUUUAGUUCUUUUGUAAGCAUGCUCUGCUAUAAAAGAAUGCAAAAUAUUUUCUUCUGCCAUAAAUGAACUGGGUACAUUUUUUAUGAAAUUACCUAAAAGGGCUAAUUUAUUACAUAGCAUAGUUAAAAAAUGCUACAGGAACCAGAUGGAACUACUCCUCGUGUCUUGUUCUUAUUAUAAAAGAAAAUUGUAAUUUCAUAAUCAGCCUUUUUGAAGACAUCAUUGAAAGCCCUGAAGCAUGGGAUGAGACCACAAUAAAUUAUGCUUUUGGAUUCUUACAUAAUUUAAAUGCUCCCGAUUUCUUAUUUUUAUCAGAAGUAUUUAGUGACAUAUUUUCUUUUAUUGAUGUCUUAUUUAACAUCCUUCAAACUAAUCAUAACAUAGUAUAUUGUAAAGAGCAAAUAGAUAAAACUAGAAGCGUACUUGAAAAUAAAAGUCAAUUUUUCAAUAUUUUAUGAUAUGUUAGAGGAAAAAUAUGGCAUCGAUGCAGCAAUUGAAAUUAAAAUAUCCAGGAAUAAAUCUAUUGAUCUCCAACAACAUUAUAGAAUGCUCUAUAACAACAUUAUUGGCACAAUAGCUGACCAAUUAAUAAUGCAAUGCUCAUCCUUAGAAAAGCUUAAAUUCAUAGAACUUUUCAAUUUCAGCAAAAGUGAGGAAUAUCACAAAAAAUUUCUUUAAAAACUACUUACGGUAGUUUUUUUUUUUUUUUUGACAUAAUACGAUUUCAGAGUGAAUUAAAUGUUUUGUAUUCUAUGAAAGAUUUUAAAAAGCAGUGUGAGUAAUUUAAUGCAUCAAUGAUAUGAUAGAAGCAAUGCCAGAACUCUUCAAUCUUUGCAACCUUAUUUUGACAAUUCUGUCUACAACUGCCCCUGUAGAGCUGUCCUUUUCUGCAUUGAAAAGAAUUAAAACUUACCAAAGAAAUACCACCAGAGAGAAAAGACUUUUGGGGUUGGCUCUUAUAUCAAUUGAAAAAUAUUUACUUCAACAACUAAUUAAAACAAGAUUUCUGUGACAAUGUAAUAAAUAUUUUUGCCCUAAAAGAUCAAAGAACUGAAUUAAUUUAUAAAUGAGGUAUGUAAAUAAUUUUUUGUACAUCUUUUCUGAAAUUUUUAAACACAUUAAAACAGCGACCAUCAUGGCCAUAUUAUGAAACUAAUUUGGUUCUCUUAAUUAAACAAUUUAAAAGAUGAAUCAGCUCAACCAAUAAGUAUGAGGGUAGCUUGAAAAUUUCAUAGGCUGACUAUGAAGGAGUGAUGCUAGAAAUCUUGCAUGCAUUCAUUUCAACUCCACAUAUUAAUAAAUGCAUUGUUUCUUUUCAGGCAAACUGACAUCUGACUGUUCAAAGAAGACUUCAAAAGUUACUAGUAGCUACUUCUCUCGAAAAUAGAUAAAAUUUGGCAUUGUGGUGUAUCACAUAUCUUCAGAAAAGGCUUUAGCCCCCAAGGACAUUCCUGCUGACCUGGUUGCUACAUUACAGAAUGAUGCUUCAGUGGGCAGCUGAACUUAGGAGGGAACGGGAUAGUUUUGAAGAUCACCAAGGAAAACAUUGAUCAUUCACCACAUGUUGAUGGAUAACAGGCGAUUGACUAUGAAUCAAAUAGCCAAUGUUAUUAGCAUAUCCUGUGAGAGAGUUGAGAAUAUUCUGCACAAUGAACUUGGCAUGAUGAAGGUUCAUUCUUGAUGGGUGCUACAUCUGACACCUGAUCAAAGCACAUCAAACUGAUCACACAACAGAAAAAUCUGACAUUGUUUGUGGCAGAUCCACUUGGUCUUCUUGAAUGUAUCAUAAUCCAUAAUGAGUGUUAGGUUCAUCACUUUAAGCCAGAGAUAAUCCAUGCAGUGGAAACAACCCUCCUCAGCUGCUCGAAAGAAGACCAAGGUCGUUUCAUCUGCAGGGAAGGUGAUGACCUCAGUUAUUUGGAAUGCAAAAGGCUUUGUGUUUAUUGACAUUGUGAUUAUCUUCAAAAGGGCCACCUUGUCAAUGGAGUGUACUAUGCCAACAUGCUGAGGCAGUUACCAAAUGCUCAGGAAAACUAACAAAAGGAGUCUUCUUUCAUUAGGACAAUACUCCAGCACACAUGCCCUUAGUUUCAAUGGCUGCUAUGCAUGGCUGUGGCUUUUAAUUAGUUGAUCACUAUCCUUAUUCCCUUAAUUUGGCCCCAUUUGACUAUCAUCUGUUUGCCAACAUGAAAAACACAUGACUGGGAACCAGUAUCACAGUGAUGAUGACAUCAUAUCUGCUGUAGAUCACUUUUUACCAGGAGGAUGAACGUUUCUUCACCAAUGGGAUUCAAGCACUGCAAUACCAAUGGAACAACUGUAUGAACUUCAAGGGGGAGGGGUCUAUGUAGAAAACUAAAUCUUAUUUGGUCAUAUUCCAUGAGAGAAUUUUGGUCAGCCUAUGAACUUUUCAAUUGACCUUCAUAUUCAUUGCAUGACCAAUGUCAAAAGUCUCUGCACACCACUGAAAUAUAUAUAUAUAUAUAUAUAUAUAUAUAAAUGAUUUUAUUUAGCAAGUACAUUGUAGUAAAGGUGCUAGCCUGCUUUAUAGCAUAUCACACUCUCUAGACAUCUGGUCUAAUCACAAUUAGUUCAGCAGUGUAAGUCAAUAUCAUUUUAGUUUUUAGAUCUUGAAUUUCUCAUGGUUAUCAGCAUUUUAUUUUUGAGUAUUAUGAAAAACUGAUAAUGUAAAAUACCUCUUGAUUUAUUUAUUUUUAUCAUUAUCUUUUUGUCUGCUCAUGGUGUAGAGGUCCUCUGAUAAUGAAAAGGGAAUAAUGUUUGUUUUUUAAUACUUUAUUUAUUACACUUAAAUAUGAGAAUCUAUUUGCAAGUGGUAUACUAGUAAGGGUUAACAUUUUAUAUAAUUUUAAAUUCAGUUGCUGUGAUAUUGGACUUGUACAAAAGUGCAACAAGUUCUAUGCCAAAAGUAAUAUUGUAGUCCAUGUUUGUAGGCAAAAGAUUUCACAUAGUUUCAACUAUUCAACUAAUCUUAUUGUCAGGUUGCAGUAUUGUUUUUUUUGUGUGUGUGUUUGGUGCAAUUUCAAUAUUGCUGUUUUAGUAAUUAAUAAUAGUUAGCCAUGUUGAUGUAUUCUUAUAGAAAUUAAGCAAUGAUGAUACUUUAUAACAAAAAACAUUAUCCUUUUGAUAUAUGAUGGCAAUAUUCCUACUGCAAAUGUGAGAGUGAGCUGGCAGAAUCAUUAGAAUGCUGGGCAAAAUGCUUAUCAACAUUUAAUCCAUCUUCACAUUAAGAGUUCAAAUUCCACUGAGGUUGAUUUUGCAUUUCAUCCUUUUGGAGUCAAUAAGAUAAGAACCAGUUGAGUAUGUAAUCAACUUACUACCUCCCCCGAACUUGUCAAAAUUUGAAACCAAUAUUUCUACUAUGAAAUCAUUGAGUUCUAGUAUGGAGAGUGUGAGCAAAGAAACAGUUCUGUCUUUAUGAAAGCUGCAUUUGACUCAGUUUGAAUGUUGAAAAGGUUAUAUUUUCACUUUGUUGUUCUGCUAUGAUGCUUACCACACACACAUUCAGAACAGAGCUUCAUGAGUUGUCAACCUGUCACAUGUGUCACAAUUCUUUAACAUAAACUAAAUAGUUUUUAUGUUUGGAGAAGUGAAAAAUCCCUUUUCAGCAUGCAAACUAAUAGAAUGUGUCCUGCUAACAUAACAAAAUUAGAACUAGUCAUAGGUUAUAAAAACUUUUUCUCUUUUUUUGUUUUGGACAAAAAGUUAGUAUUCCAGUUUCAACUUUCAUUUAAGAAAAUAACUGCCCACUCUUCUUUUUUUUUUAGGUUUAAUUUUAGUAUUGUCAAAUAAAGUCUUGGUUUUAUUCAUCUGUAUACAAAAUACAUACAAAUGUAUGUAGUAUAUGUACACACACACACAUACAGAAGUGGCAACUGAUGAGAUGUUUAGAUGCAAUCUACUUGUCUAUGUGCCAUAUUUGUAGGAUAUUCAGUAUCAGUUAAUCUCUAUGUAAUUUAAGAGGCACAAUGGCUAUGAAGUUAAGCUACUAGAUUAUUGAUUACAUGGUCAUUAGUUCAGCUUUUAUUAACUAUUAUUGCAUUGUAUUAUUGAGCAAGCAACAUAGCAUUUCUUUUGUCAAGUACAUUAAAAUAUAUGAUUCAUUGAUGAAGUCAUAAUAAGGCUGUAAAAUGCCUAAAAUCUUUUCCUAUAUUUACUGGAAUAAUUAAAACUAUAUUAAUGAAACAUUAAUAUUGUUUUUUGUUAUCUCAGCAUUUUUAAGCUUCCUACAUUAGAUGCUAACACUAACUUUAUCAUUGUUUUUAAUGUGGAUGGCUUAUAUAAGUAAUUUAUUCUAAAACAUUUGGUCUAGUUUGCCCAACUGAACAAAACUAGGUUCAUUCACCCAUACAGUCGAGUGGUUUGCAGUAGUAAGGGUAUUUAGCUCUAAAAAUCUAUUGUUCUAACAUUCAUACAGGUAUGCAGAAGUGAAUCUAAGCCCUUUAAAAAUAAAAUGAUAAAAUGGCUGUUCUAGCUAAGCCAUGCCAUCCUUAUUGUUUAGUUUGCUACAUUGAGAGUUUGAACUUCAGAUUAUAUAGCUAUUGGGUUUUAUGGAAAAAGAAACUAUUCAAAGAAUCAUUUGAUUGACCAUCUUGUCUUUUUUGUUGAAUAUGCUUUUCUAUGAUUUAAGAUUUAAAAUAUUUCUUAUUUAUAUGGCUCUAAAGUUAAGAUACUGGACUAUUGACCAUAUGGUCAUAAGUCCAGUUCUUACUACUAUAUCAACUGCUUGCUUCAGUUUGAGUGAUACAGAGCAGUCUCUUUCCUCAUGUUUGAAUGAUUAAUGAUAGGAAGGACAUCUUACCAUAUAAACAAUUGAUCCAAUAAAACUAAUGUCACACAUAUUUACAUGAAAUGAAAAAUAGCUGAAUGAAUAAAGAGGUGUCAAACAGAAAUUUAGUUGGUAUAUUUUACAUAUUGAGUGAAUUUGGAAUUAUUCAUUGUUGAGGCAUAAGUAGCAUUUAAGCUUAAAUUUUGCAACCCAACAAGUCAUAAUCAACAAUUGUGCAAUACCUAAGCUGUUGAUAGAUAAUCUGCCAGAGUUUGUAUGGUGAACAAAUUAGAGCCCUUUGGCUUGAGAUUCAAUGACUUUCAAGGGUUCAUAAAACUAAAGUAAAACUGAUAAUAUGUGAGUAUAUAAAGGUUUAAGAAAAAGGUCCUUAAUUUAAAAUUUCAGAAUUUAUGGUAAUUUGUGUUAAUUAUUAUGCAGAAUACAUAACUGUAUAAAGAACAUAUUCUGUGAGCCUUGUCUUAAACAUUACUUUCAUUAGGAUACAAUACUGGCCUACUAAUACUUUUCGAUAUAUUUCACUUAUUUAAAAGUAUUUAUUAACAUCAUAUACUGUCACUAUUUAUCAGCUUAGUAUAUUGCCACUUGCACUGUUUAUUAACUUAGCAUGCUUUCAUAUAGACAUGUAGUGUAUAUUUUAUAAAACAAUGUAUGUUUAAGUUUAUUAUGAUAUUUAGUACUCCUUGUUUCAGGAGCUCCUUUCUUGGCCUUUCUUGCAUGAGGGAACAAUUGGACAGAAACAAAAUACCCUGAUUAGUAAAUUAUGUGAUUCAGCACAAAAUAAUUUAUAGAUUAUCAAAUUUUUUAAUCAAAUCCAAGUUGUCUCCUUAAUCAUAAAUAUGAAUUUACUAUAUCAGAAUCUGGAAAAGUAAAAUGGUCAUCACAAAGUUGGAGUGAUGAAAGCACUCCCCUUUUCUCUUGAUUGCUGCAUUGCAAAUCUGUG